GGAGUUGUACCCAAGCGGCUAUAAGGGGCUGCAUUGGAAAUGCAGUAGACGUGCAAGCGUGCGAGGGUUCGAAUCCCUCCAACUCCGCCA
rnacentral:tRNA from 1 species